UACUAAAGUCUUACUAUACAUAGAUAACCGUGUCAUUACCAUCCCAAUAUAAUAGGCUUCGAUCCAGGGUUCCCUGAAUUGGAGGAAAGGGGGAUUACAGAUCUUGCCGUUUUCCUCCAAACAACGACGUGAAAACUCACGUUUCACGGUCUAGCGAGGACGGAGAGGUGUGCAGUGAACCGGACUAUUAUUCGAUACGGGGGAAAAUGUAGGCCUUCCCUAGAACAAAGGAUCAAACUAUUUUCAUUUAUUCAGAUAAAUUUAUAAAAUAAGAUAUAAAUAAAAAGUAUGAAGGUCUUUACAACGGAUCAAAUGAUAUUAAUUUAUUUAGAUAAAUUUAUAAAAUAAAAUAAAAAUAAAAAGUAUGUAGGCCUUCCCUUCUACAACGGAUCAAACUAUAUUCAUUUUUUCAGAUAAGUUUAUAAAAUAAGAUAUACAUAAAAAAUAAUUUAGGCCUUUCCUAUUACAACGGAUCAAACUAUAUUCAUUCAUUCAAAUAAAUUUAUAAAAUAA